GUUAUCAAUCAAAUAAAAAAUAUUCAAAGAUUAUUCUGAUAUUUAGUUUCUGUUUAUAUAUAGUGAGUAUUAAGUAAACCAUGUGAUUUGAAUGAUCGAACAAUAAUGAAAGAGUCAAUGAAUCAAAAUUUGAGAGAUAGGUUAGCACGCUACCCGUUUCAUUUAUUUCAUUUUGAAAUAAACUUAGUUGGAAAUGUGAAUUAACUAGGAUUCGAACUUGGGUCUCGGAUACCAACCACCAAGUCCUUUGCCAUUUGCUCUAGGAACGGUCGGUCCGUAGAAUGUAUAUAUUUAAUAGAAUGUAUAUAUUUGGAGGGAGUAUUACGAUAUUUUCAAUCUUUUGAAGGAUGCCGGUGAAAUUAACCCAAUAACUUUA
rnacentral:lncRNA from 1 species